rnacentral:rRNA from 1 species
AUUGAACGCUAGCGGGAUGCUUUACACAUGCAAGUCGAACGGCAGCGCGGACUUCGGUCUGGCGGCGAGUGGCGAACGGGUGAGUAAUGUAUCGGAACGUGCCCAGUAGCGGGGGAUAACUACGCGAAAGCGUAGCUAAUACCGCAUACGCCCUACGGGGGAAAGCAGGGGAUCGUAAGACCUUGCACUAUUGAGCGGCCGAUAUCGGAUUAGCUAGUUGGUGAGGUAACGGCUCACCAAGGCGACGAUCCGUAGCUGGUUUGAGAGGACGACCAGCCACACUGGGACUGAGACACGGCCCAGACUCCUACGGGAGGCAGCAGUGGGGAAUUUUGGACAAUGGGGGCAACCCUGAUCCAGCCAUCCCGCGUGUGCGAUGAAGGCCUUCGGGUUGUAAAGCACUUUUGGCAGGAAAGAAACGUCGCGGGCUAAUACCCCGUGGAACUGACGGUACCUGCAGAAUAAGCACCGGCUAACUACGUG